rnacentral:rRNA from 1 species
GAGGGAACACCGGUGGGGAAGGGGGACUCCGGGACCAACAUAGACGCUGAGGGAUGAGGGCGUGGGGAGCAGCCUGGAUUAGAUACCUCUGUUAGUCACGCAGUAAACGGUGAUCAAUAGGUGUAGCGGGUAUAUACUCGCCUGCGCCGGAGCAAUACCCAUUAACUCAUCCGCCUGGGGAGUACGGCAGCACGGUUACAACUCAAAGGCACUGACGGGGGGGCGGCCCAACAGCUCGAGCAUGUGGUUUAAUUUGAGCGCAACGCGAAGAACAUAACUCGGGUUUGCCAUCCCUCCUCCCUUUUGAAAAAAGGAAGUCCCUUCGGGGAGCCCGGUGACUCGUGCUGUACGGUCAAUGUCAGACGCGUGUGAUCCUUUUGUGGGGUAAAUACCCCAUCUAGCGCAACCCCUAUCUUUUCUUACCAUCAUCAAGUUGGGGACUCUAUUGAUACCGCCCCGGUCAACGGGGAGGAAGGCGGGGAUGACGUCAAGUCUUCAUGGCCCUUAUACCCAGGGAUACACAUCCUUUUCAACCGCCUGUCCAAAGGGAAGCGAUUUCGCCCUUGGGAUCCAAUCUCAAAAAGCAGUUCGUACCCAUGAUUGGAGUCUGCAACUCUACUCCAUGAAGUAGGAAUAUAACGUAAUAGCCGAUCAGCAUGCCGCGGUGAAUAAGUUCCCGGGCCUUGCAAACAUCGCCCGCCACACCAUGAGAGUUGGUUGUACCAGAA